rnacentral:rRNA from 1 species
AAUGAACGCUGGCGGCAGGCUUAACACAUGCAAGUCGAGCGAGAAAGCACUUUCGGGUGUGAGUAGAGCGGCAAACGGGUGAGUAACACGUGGGAACGUACCUUGAAGUUUGGAAUAGCCCUGGGAAACUGGGAUUAAUGCCGAAUGUGAUCUACGGAUUAAAGAUUUAUCGCUUCAAGAUCGGCCCGCGUUAGAUUAGCUUGUUGGUGAGGUAACGGCUCACCAAGGCUACGAUCUAUAGCUGGUCUGAGAGGAUGAUCAGCCACACUGGGACUGAGAUACGGCCCAGACUCCUACGGGGAGGCAGCAGUGAGGAAUAUUGGACAAUGGAGGAAACUCUGAUCCAGCCAUGCCGCGUGAGUGAUGAAGGCCUUAGGGUUGUAAAACUCUUUUAGAUGGGAAGAUAAUGACGGUACCAUCAGAAAAAGCUCCGGCUAACUUCGUGCCAGCCGCCGCGGUAA